GAGGGCGGCGCGAGCGGUUGCGCGAAGAACUAGUAGCGAACUACUAGCGAAUCUGGCGGAAAAACAAUCAAAACCUCUUCUGACAGUUCCCACGCGAAGCAAUUUCCUCGAAUUAACUUGCGCAGUUCUUGUGGAAAAAUCGGGAAAAUAUUGAAGAAAGUCCCGUAAAACCCAGUGAAAAGGUGUGUAAAAACUCUUGAAUAUAUUUCUUUGUGCUGCAAAGUGAGAAAAAAUAGGUGUAUUUGUGAAAAAUUGCAUCAACGGCGACCAGCGAAAUUCUCUGGAGGUGUCAUUCCACAGUUUCCAGGUAUGAAACCGCAGCAAAAAUUGCUACGGGUCCACACCAGAACAUGCUAGAGCACCCUUCAUCGCUAAUCUCCGGAAGUGAACCCCCAUUGCCCAUUCAAAAAGAGCCACGAAUCUGGCGUCCUCCCCACUUCACUGGUGAAGACCGACUGAGCGAUAUCGUCACUUGAAGUUAGCUGUGGUUACAACACCUCUCAAAGUUACACCCCAACUGGACAAUGAUUGGUACUGUUGGCUUAGAAGAGUCUUUGUCGAGACGGGCUUUCUCCCCAACUCCUCUAGGCUCAACAGUCCUACUACAAUACAUUGAUGUCACGAUGAACAGCAUCUUUUUAUUUCAAGUGGUAACAGACCAUCAGAAUGGAUUGUAUGCAAUAUCAUACGGUAUAAGAGAUCCUGGUAAAAGGCAUAUGAAUAUAUCACUUGUGUUUUGCUGAUUUGUGUUAUAGAAACAAAUUCUAUUAGAUGGACUUAAGCUUGAAAGGCAUUCAAUUGUUCAGAAUAAUUAUAAAAAGCAAUGUAUUUAUUAAAAUCUAUUUUUAAAAUAAAUUUACUGUCUAUUAGAAAGUCUCUUUUAUACCCUACUCAAACCUAAUUUUCAAGUUUUUGACAAAAUAUUUAAAUUCUGUGUCAUGCUGGAUCCACAUAAUGAUUCGUGCUUCAGAUUCGCCUAGGUUUUUGCAAUUUGACAAAACUUCUGGGUAAAUGUAAGUAUUUUGAUAAACAAACAAACUAUGAUUCUAUCUAUCGAUUAUAAUAUCACUGAUUUUGUACUUCGUUAGCAUUACAGUAAACGUAACACUUCAUGCUGAUAUUUAAACUUUGGUUAAAAAGCAAUGCCCUAUUUUUGUAAUUUCAUAUGCGUUCCAUAAUAAUUUAUCGCCACUUUAACCCUCUAACUGGUAAGACCUCUCGAGACGAUCUUCACAAAAAUCACAUUUACUGCGAUUACAAUUUAUUUAAAAGUGCUAUAAUGUCCUCGGUAUACUAACAUCUUUUGAAAGUUUGAUCUCAUUUUGACUUCGUUUAGUUGCUAUCCCCAGUUUUGUGUGACACGUCAGAGAAAAGCAACAAAAAAUAUUUGUACAGAACAAACUCAUUUCUAAUUCCAAGAAAAAUACCGGUUUAAAGUUAUCUGAGUAAAAUAAAUUUAUUUUUUACUUAACUCUUUCCGAACCACAACAUAUCCAGCGAACGAAUUUCAGUAAAACUCACUUUAUUGUAAGUCUUAGUGAUCAAAUAUGAUACUUUUGUAGAGAAAGAAUUUUGUCCGCCUCUGGGAAAUUGGAAAACUCAUGGGUACUCUCGUCCCCAAAAGAGCGAAAAGGAGACAAACUUCAAUUUUCCAAAAGCCAAUAAUAUCAAUUUUGUGAAUUGUUUUUGCGUGUUAAAUGACUCCUUUACAAUGUUGAUCACUAAAACAAGAAGAAUUAUUGACCAGUAUCUUGUGGGAUGUCCAGGAAGUGGUCAAGAAGACACCAAGUUUCUGCUUGCCAACAGAUUCCUCAAAAUAUUUCACAUAAUAACACUUUAAAACACAUUUCCUUCAACACGAAGUUAUUGUAGACAUAUUAAGCUUUCUCAAGAGCCAAAAAAACACUUCUUGGACAAACAGAAUUCACCAAAAUCCGGAAGAAUAGGAGAAACUUCCCCGAAAGCAAUCUGCCUCGCUGCCAAAUGUCAAAAUUAUCAGCCAUAUUGGCAAAAAAGUAGUUCCCGCUUGGAAUUUUGAUAAAAGGUUGGUGUCAAAAAGCAAAUGGCAGGCAUUGGCGGG